GGGCAUCCAGGUACACAAAGGAUCCUGCAUUCAUGCAGGGUUCGGGGAAGGGUCUCAUCCCAAGGGAGUGUGAUGUAAUGUAGGCAGUUUGCUUUGACACAAGCAUGAGCGGCUUGUUAUGCAGCUCAAACCCAUGAGCUAUUGGUCACACGGAGACAAUUGUAUACUCUAGCAAUAUAAAACAUAAAGCGAGCACAGGAAAGACACAUCUUUUCUAGAAUAAAAAGGAGCAACACAUAUGAACCUACUACCACACAGAUUCAG
rnacentral:misc_RNA from 1 species